CUGGUUCUGAUGUGCAGAUGAAUCAACUCAGUCAAAUGGGAAGUGUACCAUUCACUAAAGAGCAAUAUGAGCAAAUCUUGAGAAUGAUUAAUAACAACAACACUAACUCACAUGCAGGAGAAUCAGCAAAUGCUGCUAGUACAUCUAAUGCAGGAUCUUUACACUGGAAAGGUGAGGGGGAUUGGUAAGCCUGCUGGAGGAUUAUAUCUACUGGUUGGACAACAAGACAAUGAGAUUUCACAACAUGCAGCUAAUAAAGUGACAAAUUGUGGUAUGGUGAUAAGAAUUAAUGAUGACAUAAACCUUUGGCAUAAAAGAUUAGGUCAUGUACACUCAUGCUUUUAAGAAAAUAGUUACUUCUGAUAUUCAAAGUAUAGAAGAUAGAAUAAGGAAAUGUACUGUAUGUCCUUGUACAAAGCAAGCUAGAUCUUUUUUCUCUCAAGUAAUAUUCAAAGUACAUGUUGUUUUGAUCUUGUGCACAUGGAUGUGUGGGGACCUUAUAAGAUAGCAAUUAUGAAUGGCAAUAAAUAUUUUUUGACA